ACUGUGGCUCAGUUGGCAGAGCAGCUGAUUCGUAAUCAGCAGGUCGCCGGUUCGAAUCCGGCCAGU
rnacentral:tRNA from 1 species